UACGGAGGGUGCAAGCGUUGUUCGGAAUUAUUGGGCGUAAAGCGCGUGUAGGCGGUCAUCUAAGUCUGGUGUGAAAUCCUGGGGCUCAACCCCAGAAGUGCACUGGAUACUGGACGACUAGAGGACGAGAGAGGAAAGUGGAAUUCCUGGUGUAGGGGUGAAAUCCGUAGAUAUCAGGAGGAACAUCAGCUGCGAAGGCGGCUUUCUGGCUCGUUUCUGACGCUGAGACGCGAAAGCGUGGGGAGCAAACAGG
rnacentral:rRNA from 1 species